rnacentral:rRNA from 1 species
UUUCGAAUCAUUCACAAUGGGCGAAAGCCUGAUGGUGCGACGCCGCGUGAGGGAUGAAGGCCUUCGGGUUGUAAACCUCUGUCACCGGGGAAGAAACGCUGCAUUUUAAUAGAAUGCAGCCUGACUUAACCCGGAGAGGAAGCAGUGGCUAACUCUGUGCCAGCAGCCGCGGUAAUACAGAGACUGCAAGCGUUAUUCGGAUUCACUGGGCGUAAAGGGUGCGCAGGCGGCCAUGUGUGUUGGGCGUGAAAGCCCGGGGCUUAACCCCGGAAUUGCACCCAAAACUACAUGGCUAGAGCAUUGGAGAGGGUAGCAGAAUUCAUGGUGUAGCAGUGAAAUGCGUAGAUAUCAUGAGGAAUACCAGAGGCGAAGGCGGCUACCUGGACAAUUGCUGACGCUCAGGCACGAAAGCGUGGGGAGCAAAAG